rnacentral:rRNA from 1 species
CAAUAGCGUAUAUUAAAGUUGUUGCAGUUAAAAAGCUCGUAGUUGGAUUUGUGGUGUACUUCGGCGGCCCGUCACUAUGUGAUGGAGCUUGCUGAAGUCGCCAUCCUUGGGUGGAUCCUGUGUGGCAUUAAGUUGUCGUGCAGGGGAUGCCCAUCGUUUACUGUGAAAAAAUUAGAGUGUUCAAAGCAGGCUUAUGCCGUUGAAUAUAUUAGCAUGGAAUAAUAAGAUAGGACCUUGGUACUAUUUUGUUGGUUUGCGCACCAAGGUAAUGAUUAAUAGGGACAGUUGGGGGUAUUCGUACUUCAUUGUCAGAGGUGAAAUUCUUGGAUUUUUGAAAGACGAACUACUGCGAAAGCAUUUACCAAGGAUGUUUUCAUUAA